rnacentral:rRNA from 1 species
CGUGGGUGACCUGCCUUCGAGUGGGGGAUAACGUUUCGAAAGGAACGCUAAUACCGCAUGACAUCCUGCCUUUGAACAGGCGGAGAUCAAAGCCGGGGAUCGCAAGACCUGGCGCUUGAAAAGGGGCCCGCGUCCAAUUAGCUAGUUGGUGGGGUAACGGCUCACCAAGGCGACAAUCGGUAUCCGGCCUGAGAGGGCGGACGGACACACUGGGACUGAGACACGGCCCAGACUCCUACGGGAGGCAGCAGUGGGGAAUUGUUCGCAAUGGGCGCGCAAGCCUGACGACGCAACGCCGCGUGGAGGAUGAAGGUCUUCGGAUUGUUUACUCCUGUUGAUCGGGACGAACAACCUCCGGGAUAACACCCCGGAAGUCUGACGGUACCGAUUGAGGAAGCCCCGGCUAACUCUGUGCCAGCAGCCGCGGUAAUACAGAGGGGGCAAGCGUUGUUCGGAAUUACUGGGCGUAAAGGGCGCGUAGGCGGCCGCCUAAGUCAGACGUGAAAUCCCUCGGCUCAACCGGGGAACUGCGUCUGAUACUGGGUGGCUUGAAUCCCGGAGAGGGAUGCGGAAUUCCAGGUGUAGCGGUGAAAUGCGUAGAUAUCUGGAGAACACCGGUGGG